GGGGCCUACGGGAGGCAGCAGUGGGGAAUUUUGGACAAUGGGCGAAAGCCUGAUCCAGCAAUGCCGCGUGUGCGAAGAGGGCCUUCGGGUUGUAAAGCACUUUUGUCAGGAAAGAAAUUGUUCGGGCCAAUACCCCGAGCCGUUGACGGUACCUGAAGAAUAAGCACCGGCUAACUACGUGCCAGCAGCCGCGGUAAUACGUAGGGUGCGAGCGUUAAUCGGAAUUACUGGGCGUAAAGCGUGCGCAGGCGGUUUGUUAAGACAGCUGUGAAAUCCCCGGGCUCAACCUGGGAACUGCAAUUGUGACUGGCAGGCUAGAGUUUGGCAGAGGGGGGUGGAAUUCCUGGUGUAGCAGUGAAAUGCGUAGAUAUCAGGAGGAACACCGAUGGCGAAGGCAGCCCCCUGGGCCAUGACUGACGCUCAUGCACGAAAGCGUGGGGAGCAAACAGGAUUAGAUACCCUGGUAGUCCACGCCCUAAACGAUGUCUACUAGUUGUUGGGUCUUCAUUGACUUAGUAACGAAGCUAACGCGUGAAGUAGACCGCCUGGGGAGUACGGCCGCAAGGUUAAAACUCAAAGGAAUUGACGGGG
rnacentral:rRNA from 1 species